rnacentral:rRNA from 1 species
GACGAACGCUGGCGGCGUGCUUAACACAUGCAAGUCGAACGGAAAGGCCCUGCUUUUGUUGGGUGCUCGAGUGGCGAACGGGUGAGUAACACGUGAGUAACCUGCCCUUGACUUUGGGAUAACUUCAGGGAACUGGGGCUAAUACCGGAUAGGAGCUCCUGCUGCGUGGGGGGGGUUGGAAAGUUUCGGCGGUUGGGGAUAGUCUCGCGGCUUAUCAGCUUGUUGGUGGGGUAGUGGCUUACCAAGGCUUUGACGGGUAGCCGGCCUGAGAGGGUGACCGGCCACAUUGGGACUGAGAUACGGACCAGAAGCCUACGGGAGGCAGCAGGGGGGAAUAUUGCGCAAUGGGCGGAAGCCUGAGGCAGCAACGCCGCGUGCGGGAUGAUGGCUUUCGGGUUGUAAACCGCUUUCGCCGGUGCCGAAGAGUGAGUGACGGUAAUGGGUAAGGAAGCAACGGCUAACUACGUG